rnacentral:rRNA from 1 species
UACGGGGGGGGCAAGCGUUGUUCGGAAUUACUGGGCGUAAAGGGCUCGUAGGCGGCCAACUAAGUCAGACGUGAAAUCCCUCGGCUUAACCGGGGAACUGCGUCUGAUACUGGAUGGCUUGAGUUUGGGAGAGGGAUGCGGAAUUCCAGGUGUAGCGGUGAAAUGCGUAGAUAUCAGGAGGAACACCGGCGGCGAAGGCGGCCCUCUGGAUCGUUGCUGACGCUGAGACGCGAAAGCGUGGGGAGCAAACAGG